rnacentral:piRNA from 1 species
UGCAACCUCAGCAAUUUAUAAAUAAGCCCC